UACGUAGGGUGCAAGCGUUGUCCGGAAUUACUGGGCGUAAAGAGCUCGUAGGCGGGACCGUAAGUCCGAGAGGAAAUCUCAAGGCUCAACUUUGGGGCUUUCUUGGAUACUGCGGUUCUGAGGAUGAGAGAGGUAAGCAGAAUUCCCGGUGUAGCGGUGAAAUGCGUAGAUAUCGGGAGGAAUACCAGUGGCGAAGGCGGCUUACUGGCUCAUUCCUGACGCUGAGGAGCGAAAGCGUGGGGAGCAAACGGG
rnacentral:rRNA from 1 species